rnacentral:rRNA from 1 species
GUAGGUGGCAAGCGUUGUCCGGAAUUAUUGGGCGUAAAGUGCGCGCAGGUGGGUUCUUUAAGUCUGAUGUGAAAGACCCCCGGGCUCAACCGGGGAGGGUCAUUGGAAACUGGGGAACUUGAGUGCAGGAGAGGAAAGUGGAAUUCCACGUGUAGCGGUGAAAUGCGUAGAUAUGUGGAGGAACACCAGUGGCGAAGGCGACUUUCUGGCCUGUAACUGACACUGAGGCGCGAAAGCGUGGGGAGCAAACAGGAUUAGAUACCCUGGUAGUCCACGCCGUAAACGAUGAGUGCUAAGUGUUGGGGGGUUUCCGCCCCUCAGUGCUGCAGCUAACGCAUUAAGCACUCCGCCUGGGGAGUACGGUCGCAAGACUG